rnacentral:rRNA from 1 species
GCAGUCGAGGGGUAUAGUUCUUCGGAACUAGAGACCGGCGCACGGGUGCGUAACGCGUAUGCAAUCUACCUUUUACAGAGGGAUAGCCCAGAGAAAUUUGGAUUAAUACCUCAUAGUAUGUGAGAAUCGCAUGGUUUUCACAUUAAAGUUCCAACGGUAAAAGAUGAGCAUGCGUCCCAUUAGCUAGAUGGUAAGGUAACGGCUUACCAUGGCGACGAUGGGUAGGGGUCCUGAGAGGGAGAUCCCCACACUGGUACUGAGACACGGACCAGACUCCUACGGGAGGCAGCAGUGAGGAAUAUUGGACAAUGGGCGCAAGCCUGAUCCAGCCAUGCCGCGUGCAGGAUGACGGUCCUAUGGAUUGUAAACUGCUUUUGUACAGGAAGAAACACUCCCUCGUGAGGGAGCUUGACGGUACUGUAAGAAUAAGGAUCGGCUAACUCCGUGCCAGCAGCCGCGGUAAUACGGAGGAUCUAAGCGUUAUCCGGAAUCAUUGGGUUUAAAGGGUCCGUAGGCGGUUUAAUAAGUCAGUGGUGAAAGCCCAUCGCUCAACGGUGGAACGGCCAUUGAUACUGUUAAACUUGAAUUAUUAGGAAGUAACUAGAAUAUGUAGUGUAGCGGUGAAAUGCUUAGAGAUUACAUGGAAUACCAAUUGCGAAGGCAGGUUACUACUAAUGGACUGACGCUGAUGGACGAAAGCGUGGGUAGCGAACAGGAUUAGAUAC